CGACGGAUGAACGCCGGCUCUACGUUCGUCUUCGCGCGAUCCGGCACUUCGCCAACCGGUCCGGUCGGUCUAUGUGAUUACACGUUAUGCGACCAAUAAUUGUGUAGUGUUAUCCGGACCACUAAAAGCCUUUCAGAAUCGUGAACCUAGUGCUUCGCUAUCGAAUAUACGGACUAAGUUCUAAAGUUAAGUGCGUUCUCAAAUACAUUUUUGUGAAGUGCAAGUUUAUUUGAGAAGUUUCUAUUACUACUCAGUGUUUUGUAUUUGUUAGUGACAGAGGGAGUUUACACGAAAUUUCGUGAUUUGACGUAUCGAGUCCAGUUUGCUUUUGAUGACAAGUUCUUAAGUGGAAGUUUGAAAUAACUCAUUUACGUUCAAACUUUACUUCGUCAAGUAUUUCAAGUGUUGGAGUUUUAGAAACCGAAGCUAUAUUGUAUGACUGCAGUUUUACAGAUAAAGCGCUUCGUGGUGUCAUUUAAAGAUGUCGUAAGGAAUCAAUUGGAUAUGAGACGAUGAGCCAUGGAAUCGCGAAGCGCGCCGCCAAGCCCCGACGAGGCGGGGGAGGCGGUGUACGAGUCCCGCUGCGGCCGCUACCAGCCUUCGCUGCAGAGGACUUUCGCCAGCUGCCGCGAGACCGGCCGUCCACGCCCGAAUCACCGCCAUGCCACCUCAGAACCUGCAAGGCCGGACGACCGCGUUCUUACUACAGCCGAGGUUCACGAUUACCCUUCGUCCGAGUCCGGCAUCGCCGCCGACUGUCCUCACCCUCACACCAGCAACGCUGACGACAGUCCCUCCUACGACCGAUCGGACUAUGAAGGGAAUUCGAGCUAUAGUCUUAGGCGAACUCCCGAUUAUCACCACAAUCUUGACUGUAAGCACCGUACUAUGGAUUACCGCAGUCACACCCCUGACUACAAUCAUGAACACACAUCGGACUGUGAUCGUGCACACGGACGAGCACAAACGUCUCGACGCCCGCACAGAAAACAUCGAAGAGAAGAAGACGAUGGUGCGCAGUCCCUUGACGAGCGAUGUGCUCGAGAUCUCGACGAAAUCCUGCCAGCCAGAUUGGCAGCAGUCAAUUUAUCAAGGGAACAACCUCCACAAACAUGGAAUAGGAGCAAUAUCGCGGCAACAAUGGAGAGAUUUGAACCAGUUGAUUACUCUUACGCUUAUUACGAUCAUCACUUAUCAAUGCCAUCCUCUUCUAGAAAAACGAACCGGCAGCGUGGUCGCGGUGGAAUAUCUCGCGACCGUUCAGCUAGGCACAACUAUGUUACUAGAUAUGGAACCGAAGAAAACAUUUAUGAGGAAAUUACAGAUGGUUCUCGGACAUGUCCGAAACAUCGAUACGUUCCCCGCCAGUCUCUAGUAUCCCUGGACAGGAGUGUAGUCGAGGAGGAAGUUCGUCGAGUUGAAUCAAGACAUAAACGAAUUUUGGGAGAGCUAAAUCUCAGCGUCGAAGCCAUGUUAAUGCCAGAGUGUGAAUCCCCUGACUCGGAGCGAGCGGAAGAUAGAGAUAAUAUCGAAGAAUUAUUGAGGGUAGGUCCAACAGACGAACUACUUUCACCGGCUAGUUGUAAUCCUCCAGAUUUAGAUAGCGGUUUUAGCGGGAGCAGUAGUGGUGCGAGUUAUGUUGGUAGUCUGAGACGAAAACCAACGGGUUCCGUGCCACAUUUACCAGCUGUAGCUUACGGGACACGUGGAGCAGGAGUACGCAUUCUGGGCGCUGAAGAGUGUGGCAUACGCUGUCCCAAAGACACCCCGUCACCCCGAAGUUCCAGUUGCGGCGAUGCUAAAACGAGCGGCUUUUGGAACAAAAAAGCUUGGAAGAAGAUAUCGGGUUUCUCUAGUUCAAAUAGUAUCAACAAAGCUGGCCUUACUGGUCUGCUCGUUAGGUACACUUUCCGGCGUAAGUCCGGCUCGCAGGGCUCUCAGGGCAAGCGGCGUGCCGAGCCCGUCAAAUGCGAUGCGUGCCUCUCACAACGAUGUUAGCCGCAGUAUGAUGAAGCCUGUAGGCCAAGCAGAGCUAAAUCCAGAACAGCUACUAUACCCUACAGCUACUCCAACGGAAAACUGGUGGUGCCGCUGGAUACCCUAGCACAGAGCUGAGGGGUUGAACCCCCUCUCCAUUCCCGCCUCCAACUCCUCCGAAGGCCUUCUCGAAGCAAAAGGGCAGCGCUAAAUAACGUGGUGGCUUAAUACGACUGACACUAAAACCUAAGUGCAUUGACUUUUCUGUGACGUGGGUUAUAAUGAAUAUUCUUAAAUUUUCCCUUCACGGACUUGAAUGAAACAUUCCAAUGACUUUGUUCGGAAAAACACAGUACAGUACGUCUCAAAGACUAUCUGUAGGUGUUUUGUACAGAACCAGUGUAUAUAAAGUGAUGGACAUAAAGGCGAGUAUACGUUGAAGUGAUAGAUGAGCCUAAUAUUUUUAUUGUUACGAACGUUUCAUAGAAACGCAUUGACUACAUUGUUGUUACUUAUCAAUUUUUAGUAGUAAAUAGGUACAACAAAAGGCUGACAGUUGAUCCGAUUUUGUACGUGGUGAGGAAUGGGUGUCAUCUUAGUAAUAGUUUCGUUUUGGACGUAAUUGAUGUUAUUAAUAUGUAUUAUUCAUAAGUUGUGUGUAGAUGAUCUUUCUUAUAUUGAAUAAAUAUAUUAUGGAUGAAUCGACCUUGCUACGUAUUAUCUGUGGUAACAAAACAGCUUUUUACUAACUUAUACUUAAAAUUAAAAUAACGAUACACGCCAAGUUAAUAGUUUUUUAUUUUGCUAAUUACAUCGAUACUUUAGGAAAGAAAAGACGUAAUAUCCAAAUUACAAAGUUUGCAAGGACUUAAAUGUUUUUGUUUCCUUUUUAAAUUUUAUAGCUAUUUUUAAAAAUUUCAACCAACUAUAUCAAUUAAAUUGGACAAAAUUGGAUUUUACGCCUUUUCUGCCUUAUAAGUGUCAUUACGUAAAAUUUAAAAUACGAUACUUUGGAAUACAUGGCAUUAUUAUUUAAAUAAUAAAAAUUCCCAACGAACUUAGGUGUGAACACUAACCUGAAAAUUACCCGUUUAUUGGCUCAGGUCUCGGUCGGCAAAGAGAGCUAGAGGGUUUAUUAGGUCAUAGACUGCGACGCUGGCCUAAUGCAAGUUGGGGAGUUAUUGAUGUAGUUGCGUUACAUUUUCACACUCUUUCGAUCUGUCUACUCAAUGUUUUGUUAUUCGCCAGAAAAUGGCGUUAUUACGUAACGUAAAGAUAUAAUUAAAAAACAACCGUUUACAAAUAUUGAUAUUUACUCGUCUUGUAAACGUUGUGUUUUGACUAUGCUAUUAUUCUUUGAAUCAUCGGUAACUGCAGCUAUGUUACUAAAUUUGACUACUAUAUUUUGUACCAAUAAAUUGUUUUAAAAAUUUCAGCUAAAUUGUGUUAAUACAUUUAUUUUAGUUUCUUAUAUAAUACCGUGUUUUGCGACGUUAAAAGUUGCAUUCCUGGCUAAAUACAAAAAUAUCAGAACGUCCUGCUUGACCUAAUUAUAAUAUAAUUAUCAGUAAUAAUGUAUUAAUAAACUAAAUUUAUCUCCUUUGUACUCUAUAUGGUAUGUAAUUUUCUAGGUAUCCAUUCUGUGCAUUUGUUGAAACCAUAGAUAUAGAAAAAAAGGGUUGAUACUGCCGUGCUUAUUUUGUAGAAAAGCAUAUUAUUUGUGUAACAACGAUUCUGAAA